rnacentral:SRP_RNA from 1 species
GCCUGUAGUCCCAGCUACUCGGGAGGCUGAGGCAGGAGGAUCGCUUGAGCCCAGGAGUUCUGGGCUGUAGUGCGCUAUGCCGAUCGGGUGUCCGCACUAAGUUCGGCAUCAAUAUGGUGACCUCCCGGGAGCGGGGGACCACCAGGUUGCCUAAGGAGGGGUGAACCGGCCCAGGUCGGAAACGGAGCAGGUCAAAAAAACUCCCGUGCUGAUCAGGAUCAAAGAUUUAAAUCAAACUUCCAGAGCUCAACUCCUUUGUUUAU